rnacentral:rRNA from 1 species
UACGUAGGGGGCAAGCGUUGUCCGGAUUUAUUGGGCGUAAAGAGCGUGUAGGCGGUUCGGUAGGUCCGUUGUGAAAACUCGAGGCUCAACCUCGAGACGCCGAUGGAAACCCUCGAACUAGAGUCCGGAAGAGGAGAGUGGAAUUCCUGGUGUAGCGGUGAAAUGCGCAGAUAUCGUUUGGAACGCCGAUGGUGAAAACAGGUCGCUGGGGCUGUGCUGACGCUGAGACACGAAAGCCAGGGGAGCGAACGGG